CAUUGUCAACAGCAGUGCUGUUUCUCCCAAUCAAAGUGAGUCGGGAACAGAGAAACACAGGAAGCAAACACACUAAAAAGAAGAAACACAGAACUGGACUUCAGUGCUCAUUUUCUCACUGUGGAAAUAAAAACAUGAGAUUUAUUUUUCCUGCAUAACCUCAGCGGCGUCAGUGGCAACUGACUGAUUUCUUUAAAGGACAGCUUAACAUCAGGAAGGACAAAACUCAUUAAUAUCUGGAGAACAUCUGUAGGUCAUUUCCACCUAAAGGCCUUCAAACCUGCAUUUCUGGGGCCUAAAAACCGACUAACAUGGCUGUGCUGACUUCCCCCUGGGCUGAUCUGGCUCUGUUCCUGCAGGGGAGCAUCACAAUGUCAAACAGUGAUGCAGGCAGCUUUUUUCCAGUGUGGCUGUUUGGACUGAUGCUCUUCCUGUCUGUCUCUCUCCUGCUGCUAGCACUGAUCAUCCUCCUCAGUUGGAAACUCAGACAGGCUGACGCUGAUCUGUUGACACUAGCGCAGGACAGAAGCUCCAUCAGCGCCACCCACAGGCAUGUGCACAGAGGACGGCACAGAAGAAAUGCUGGAUCUCAUUUCUGCACCUGACAGUCAUGAACAGACACAUUUUAACACAAAUGAAGGAACACACUCUGUAUAUGACAUGUGCUCUCUCCUGAGGGGCCAUAUCAUGCUGGACAUUGAAGAGUGUAAGGAAAUAAUAAGCUAACAACCCAUGAACACCAACGUCGUCUGCCUCACCCGACUGACAUGAAUUGAAAAGCAUAAUUUACACAUGGAUUUAACUUUUAGGUAUUAUGUCUAAUAAAUAUGCUGCACACAUUUUCAAUCACACUUCCAAGGAAAUGAAUGAGGAAAUGAAGCGAGUAUAACAAUCCUUUAUUUAAACAGUGUUACACAGGGGGGGAGGAGUGGCUGUGUGGGGGGAGAUACAAGACAUUUAAGCUGCUAGACAGAAAAACCCUACUGGUGAUCACUGGUUAGCUAACAGAGAGCAAUGAGGCAGCUGGUAGGUUUUCCAAAAUGAGUUUCUUUAAGGUUUCCAUUGUAUGUGUGAGUUUUAUUUUAUUAAUAAAAUAUAAAAACUGUGCUGGUUUCCCGUUUCUCCAGAGUGUGAAACAAAGCCUGAGAUUUAAGUGUUCAGAGGAUCCUCCAAUUAUAAUCUGCUAUAACACCAUGUGGAUUUAACGCUCUCUGAUGUGGAUUCACAGGCGUAGAGGUUGGUAAAACUUUUCUUGGUGUAACCUAGCGUAACAUGACGCAUUUGGGAAAAUCCGAUUCCGCAGCCUCAAAGCUCAUGUGAUUGGUUAAGAGAGCCCAGAAGAACCCGGAAAAGCGGUUAAAGCUGGGGCUAAACGUACAAAAAGGAAAACAGUGGCAGAAAUUUUCAUUUGUAGUGGUUUUCAAAAAAAACAACGACACUGCAACAAUUUUACAAAUAUGCAAGAUGGAGGGGGAACAAGAAAUCCCACCUUUAAACAACUAGAUUACAGAGAAAAUACGAGAAAUUAUGAAAAAGAAAAAUCUACAAAUGUGGUCACUGUGAUAUUACCAAAGGCUUUUUUUCUGUUUGUUUGUUUUUUUGGAACAUCAAAAGCUUCCAAAGCUGCCUAGUGUUGCACGGUUUACAUUUUUAUAAAGAAAAAAAAUGCUUUUCUGCUGCUUUGUCUCUUUACAAGAGGGUUCGAGGUUAAAGCUUCCCCCUCGUGGAAUGUCAUUUAACUGCAUAGUAGAGCUCAGACCUGCGUUUCCCGAUUUUAAAAAAGCUUCAGCUCUCAGUCUGAUGAGCACGCUUAACUACAAAAGUUUUAAAAUGGGUCAAAUUGGGCAGUGAUUACUCAUCAAGUUAAAAAGCUGAUUAGCAGUUUUUUCUUCCUUUUUUAUUUCUAAAAAUGAAAUAAAAUAUCCUUUUGUCUCCCAUUUAAAACACGUCCAGUCAAAGAUUGGAGACGUAGAUUAAUCCAGACCAGUCUAAGGUGGAAUGUUUGUAAUAAUAAAUCAGUGGCACUUCUUCACUUAAAAUCAGCUAAAUUUCAGGAGAACAUGACUUUGCCUUUUUGCUGCUUAUGCUAAAAAUCUGUGUCAAAGUAAAUGCACUAGACCAAGCACCUAGCACAUUUAAUGCCCCCAAUAUUUACACAAAGCUACAAUUUAGUUCACUUUCUUUUUUUGUUUUUUUGCAGAGUAAAAGGACAGAAAAUGAAUAAAACAUAAUGAGUUUCCAUUUCGGGGGUUUCAAGAGCACUUCAAACCCGCUGAUACACUUCCCUUUAAGCUGCAUUUUGGCUGGUGCGUUGUAACUUUUUUUUUUUUUGCCUCAGUUUGAAGUGUGGUGACAGAUUCAGAGCGUUGCGUUUUUUUGUGGUGAACAAGGUGGAAAUCGGCUGAAUGAAAUGUAACCAAAAAAACCAAAAAAACAUGCAGAGAAACGUUUAGCUGUAGUGAAACAGUUACAAAGCAGCCCGACGCGCUGUAUGAGCAGAGAUAGUCCACACGCUCUCAAACCAAUCGACGUGGUAGCGUCCUACCUAGACUCACUCGAGACUCCUGGAAGAUAAAACUGCGUGAAGACAUGCUGAAUUUAAUCCCAUGUUCUAUCAUAUCAAGCAGGUAUGAAAAGAAGCCGGCGAUGAACUGAGCUGAACUACGGCGCCAAACGGGCUCCUUGGCAGAGUUAGCAGACUGCAUUAAUUUGAGUCUGAGCUGCUUUCAAGUCGUUCUCAUUUUGGUACCUGUGCUAGUUGGAGCACAAAACUCAUUCUGAAUAAUUUAAAUAGCAGUAUUAAUUUUGCAUUAUGCAUUAAGCCUUCAGAAUAUUAAAAUACUUCACUGUGGGAUGCAAGAAAACAUGCAUUAUUAUUCAAAUUCUGUUUAUUCCCUGGUACUUAUCGGGCACUCUCCCAAUUAUCCUUCACUUUAUAGCUCCGGUCUCCCAAUCCAAAGUCAGUUUAUGUCUCCCUCGCUCCCCCUCAGGCCCAGCGGGAAUGGUUAGUGUCGUACAGUGGACGAGCCCGGGGAGUGAAAAGCUGCUCCCAUUGAUAACCUUCAUUUUUACUGUGCAGAAGUUGUCAUUUUCAGUUCAAAUCCACCUUCAGUUUAGCUUAAAAAAAAUGUAAAACUGUAAAAUUGAUGGAAUUUAUUCCACCUACAUUUUCGAACUACUACUGAAGCUCGCCGACCCUAUUUAAAAUGUUCAAAACCAGUCUCUUCUUCCAGUUUAGCAAAAAAAGUGAAUUGAACUGAAAAUGGACUCGGCUGCUAGUCACACACAAGGAAUGUGGAUGAAUAAUAACUAUACAGGAAAAAAAAUGAAAUAACAGAACCAAAAGACCUGGAUGACUCUCCUGCAGAUGUUAAAGUUACAGCUCCCGCUCUUCUCUAAUGAUCAGGAAGUAGAAGUGAUAAUGUGAGGUGCAACAUUUCUACCAUUCACCUGUGAAUAUGUGGGAGUGAGUGUGUUAUACUAAUUAGAAAAAAGACCAAGUUGUGACACCCUGUUUCCUUCAUGCUCCUUAUAAACUAUUAUAUUACUCUCCAUUUACAUCACCAUGAAGCAA